AGAACGAACGCUGGCGGCAUGCCUAACACAUGCAAGUCGAACGAGAUCCUUCGGGAUCUAGUGGCGCACGGGUGCGUAACGCGUGGGAACCUGCCCCUCGGUUCGGAAUAACACAGAGAAAUUUGUGCUAAUACCGAAUGAUGACUUCGGUCCAAAGAUUUAUCGCCGAGGGAUGGGCCCGCGUAGGAUUAGCUUGUUGGUGGGGUAAUGGCCUACCAAGGCAACGAUCCUUAGCUGGUCUGAGAGGAUGAUCAGCCACACUGGGACUGAGACACGGCCCAGACUCCUACGGGAGGCAGCAGUGGGGAAUAUUGGACAAUGGGCGAAAGCCUGAUCCAGCAAUGCCGCGUGAGUGAUGAAGGCCUUCGGGUUGUAAGCUCUUUACCCGGGAUGACAUGACAGUACCGGAGAAUAAGCUCCGGCUAACUCCGCGCCAGCAGCCGC
rnacentral:rRNA from 1 species